rnacentral:tRNA from 1 species
GGGGACAUGGAUCAGUAGUAGAGUACCUGCCUAGUAAGCAUGAGGGCCUGAGUUCAAACCUAAGUAUCACCA